GCGGCAUUCUGGAUGAGUUGUAGGGGUUUAAUGGCACAGGCAGGGAGCCCAGCCAACAGCGAGUUGCAGUAAUCCAGACGGGAGAUGACAAGUGCCUGGAUUAGGACCUGCGCCGCUUCCUGUGUGAGGCAGGGUCGUACUCUGCGGAUGUUGUAGAGCAUGAACCUACAGGAACGGGGAUGCAGAACAGCUGAACAAGGCCACAAUUUGCCGCACAAUAAGGAGUGUGUGUCUGGCUAUCAAAGCAUUAGCAGAUGUCUUCAUCUCCUUCCCUGGCCACAGAAGACUCUGUGACAUCAAAGAGGAGUUCUAUAGGAUUGCAGAUGGUCUGCAAUGCUGACUGUGUGAUCAGCAAUGUUGUGGCAAAAUGGCCUGGCUCAGUCCAUGACUCCAGAAUCUUUCGGGCCUCUGAAAUCUAUCAGUGCCUAUCACAAGGUGAAUUCUCUGGUGUGUUGCUGGGAGACAGGGG